rnacentral:rRNA from 1 species
GAACGGCUCAUUAUAUCAUUUAUAAUUCACUUGAUCGCAUUUCAUUCUUACAUGGAUAACCGUAGGAAUUCUAGAGCUAAUACAUGAAAAAAGUCUGGACCUCUUUCGGGAGGAAAGGGUGAAUUUAUUAGAUUACCAACCAACGCAGAGUAUUCAAACUUCACAGAACUAGUGUCUGUGCGGGCUCUGGUCUCUCUUGAGACAGUUAAAGGUGACUCAGAAUAACUUAUCGAAUCGCAGAGACAUUUAUGUCGGCGAUGAUACAAACAAAUUUCUGCCCUAUCAACUUUCGAAGGUAGUAUAGAGGACUACCUUGGUGAUAACGGGUAACGGGGAAUGUGGGUUUUAUUCCGGAGAGGGGGCCUGAGAAAUGGCCACCACUUCCAAGGAAGGCAGCAGGCGCGCAAAUUACUCAAUCUCAAUUCGAGGAAGUAGUGACAAGAAAUAUCAAUAUAGGACCAAUGGUGCUAUGUUUGAAAUGAGUGUAAUUUAAAAACAUUAUCAAGGAACCAUUGGAGGGCAAGUCUGGUGCCAGCAGCCGCGGUAAUUCCAGCUCCAAUAGUGUAUACUAAUGUUGCUGCAGUUAAAAAGCUCGUAGUUGGAUUUCGGUUAAUAGAGUGUUAGUCUACUUUUUUAUAAGUACGCACUGCCAAUCUAUUUCCUUCUUUUCAGUAACAAAAUUUAUUUUGUUCUGAAUCUUUUACUUUGAAAAAAUUAGAGUGUUCAAAGCAGGCGUAUUUUGCCUUUGAAUAUAUUAGCAUGGGAUAAUGAAAUAAGACUUUUUGCCUUAUUCUCGUUGGUUUUUGAGGCUAAAGUAAUGAUUAAUAGGGAUAGUUGGGGUCAUUAGUAUUUAAUUGUCAGAGGUGAAAUUCUAAGAUUAAUUAAAGACUAACUACUGCGAAAGCAUUUGACAAGGAUGUUUUCAUUAAUCAAGAACGAAAGUUGGGGGAUCGAAGAUGAUCAGAUACCGUCGUAGUCUCAACCAUAAACUAUGCCGACCAAGGAUUCGGGGGUGUUAUAUGAAUGACCCUCCGGGCACUUAUAGAGAAAUCAUAAGUAUUUGGGUUCCGGGGGGAGUAUGGUCGCAAGGCUGAAACUUAAAGGAAUUGACGGAAGGGCACAACCAGGAGUGGAACUUGCGGUUUAAUUUGACCCAACACGGGAAAACUUACCAGGUCCAGACACAGUAAGGAUUGACAGAUUGAGAGCUCUUUCUUGAUUUUGUGGUUGGUGGUGCAUGGCCGUUUCUAGUUGGUGGAGUGAUUUGUCUGGUUAAUUCCGUUAACGAACGAGACCUUAACCUAUUAAAUAGUUACAUGAACC